rnacentral:rRNA from 1 species
AGUGAACGCUGGCGGUAGGCCUAACACAUGCAAGUCGAACGGCAGCACAGUAAGAGCUUGCUCUUACGGGUGGCGAGUGGCGGACGGGUGAGGAAUACAUCGGAAUCUACUUUUUCGUGGGGGAUAACGUAGGGAAACUUACGCUAAUACCGCAUACGACCUACGGGUGAAAGCAGGGGAUCUUCGGACCUUUCGCGAUUGAAUGAGCCGAUGUCGGAUUAGCUAGUUGGCUGGGUAAAGGCCCACCAAGGCGACGCUCCGUAGCUGGUCUGAGAGGAUGAUCAGCCACACUGGAACUGAGACACGGUCCAGACUCCUACGGGAGGCAGCAGUGGGGAAUAUUGGACAAUGGGCGAAAGCCUGAUCAAGCCAUACCGCGUGGGUGAAGAAGGCCUUCGGGUUGUAAAGCCCUUUUGUUGGGAAAGAAAAGAAGCAGGUUAAUCCCCCGCUGUUCUGACGGUACCCAAAGAAUAAGCACCGGCUAACUUCGUG